GAUGAACGCUGGCGGCGUGCCUAAUACAUGCAAGUCGAGCGAACAGACGAGGAGCUUGCUCCUCUGACGUUAGCGGCGGACGGGUGAGUAACACGUGGAUAACCUACCUAUAAGACUGGGAUAACUUCGGGAAACCGGAGCUAAUACCGGAUAAUAUAUUGAACCGCAUGGUUCAAUAGUGAAAGACGGUCUUGCUGUCACUUAUAGAUGGAUCCGCGCCGCAUUAGCUAGUUGGUAAGGUAACGGCUUACCAAGGCAACGAUGCGUAGCCGACCUGAGAGGGUGAUCGGCCACACUGGAACUGAGGCACGGUCCAGACUCCUACGGGAGGCAGCAGUAGGGAAUCUUCCGCAAUGGACGAAAGCCUGACGGAGCAACGCCGCGUGAGUGAUGAAGGUCUUCGGAUCGUAAAACUCUGUUAUUAGGGAAGAACAAAUGUGUAAGUAACUAUGCACGUCUUGACGGUACCUAAUCAGAAAGCCACGGCUAACUACGUG
rnacentral:rRNA from 1 species